rnacentral:rRNA from 1 species
AUUGAACGCUGGCGGCAUGCUUUACACAUGCAAGUCGAACGGUAACAGGCCUUCGGGUGCUGACGAGUGGCGAACGGGUGAGUAAUGCAUCGGAACGUGCCCAAUCGUGGGGGAUAACGUAGCGAAAGUUACGCUAAUACCGCAUAAGCCCUGAGGGGGAAAGCAGGGGAUCGCAAGACCUUGCGCGAAUGGAGCGGCCGAUGUCAGAUUAGCUAGUUGGUGGGGUAAAGGCCUACCAAGGCGACGAUCUGUAGCGGGUCUGAGAGGAUGAUCCGCCACACUGAGACUGAGACACGGCCCAGACUCCUACGGGAGGCAGCAGUGGGGAAUUUUAGACAAUGGGCGCAAGCCUGAUCCAGCCAUGCCGCGUGCGGGACGAAGGCC